CAGGAUUAGAUACCCUGGUAGUCCACGCUGUAAACGAUGUCUACUAGCCGUCGGGUCCUUAGUGACUUUGGUGGCGCAGCUAACGCGAUAAGUAGACCGCCUGGGGAGUACGGCCGCAAGGUUAAAACUCAAAUGAAUUGACGGGGGCCGCACAAGCGGUGGAGCAUGUGGUUUAAUUCGAUGCAACGCGAAGAACCUUACCAGGUCUUGACAUCCUCGGAACUUGGCAGAGAUGCCUUGGUGCCUUCGGGAGCCGAGUGACAGGUGCUGCAUGGCCGUCGUCAGCUCGUGUCGUGAGAUGUUGGGUUAAGUCCCGUAACGAGCGCAACCCUUGUCCUUAGUUGCCAGCACGUCAUGGUGGGAACUCUAGGGAGACUGCCGGUGACAAACCGGAGGAAGGUGGGGACGACGUCAGGUCAUCAUGGCCCUUACGACCUGGGCUACACACGUGCUACAAUGGCUGGUACAGAGGGCUGCGAAGUCGCGAGGCGGAGCUAAUCCCUUAAAGCCAGUCGUAGUCCGGAUCGGAGUCUGCAACUCGACUCCGUGAAGUCGGAAUCGCUAGUAAUCGCGGAUCAGAAUGCCGCGGUGAAUACGUUCCCGGGCCUU
rnacentral:rRNA from 1 species